rnacentral:misc_RNA from 1 species
GAUGAAGAACGUAGCGAAAUGCGAUAAGUAGUGUGAAUUGUAGAAUUCAGUGAAUCAUCGAAUCUUUGAACGCACAUUGCGCCCUUUGGCAUUCCUUAGGGCAUGCCUGUUCGAGCGUCAUUCUCACCCAUCAAGCUAGGCUUGGUGUUGGGCGUCUGUCCGGCUCUGUCUGGACUCGCCUUGAAGCAAUUGGCGGCCUUCUCGGCGGCUUAGAGCGCAGCACAGUGCGUCUCUUCGCCUCCCCGGGGGGUGACCAGCAAGCAACUUUUACGAUUGACCUCGGAUCAGGUAGGGAUACCCGCUGAACUUAAGCAUAUCAAUAAGCGGAGGA